rnacentral:lncRNA from 1 species
UUGAUUCUGGUUUUUGUCAUGUGGCAGCAAAUUUAUUUAUUUAUUUAUUUAUUUAUUUAUUUAUUUAUUUAUUUAUUUAAAAAGUGUAAUAUGUUUUAAGGAAUGGACUCUUUUAUAUGCUUCAAUUAGCAGCAGACGACAAAGUUCCAGUUGGUCACACUUUCGUAAACUCUUGGAAGUCGUUGCUUGCCCCUUUGAUUAAAGAAAACUUGUGGUUUGGUUGCAAAGCGCAUCUGGCCUUCUGGAAGCUUGCUUUUCCUUGCACCCCUGUGUCCUUCACAUUAGUCACUGAGGGUUCAAAGGUCGUGUCCAAGUUCUUCCGUGUUAGGUUAGCAGCCUAUGUUGGAGGGCUGCCCUUUAGUUAGGUACCGGCCUUACCGCACCUCUGAAUUCUGCUAGCAUAAAAAUCACUGUUUGUGCAGAUUUUAUAGUUUAGCUAAUUCUUCACUGGAAAUAGGAGGGGGAUUUGGAAAACAUUCCUCUCUCACCCUCUCCAUCCCCCUUUCCAAACAGUGCUCAACCAGACCAGCUUACUUUUGAAUUUCCUGUCAUCUCUUUCACUGAUUUUAUGGAUAGCUCAUAUUAAAAACAAUAAUGUUUGACUUGGAAGGCCUGAAACCUUGGGUUUUUCAUUCUUCAUGGGGAACUGUGUAUUUGCAUGUGGCUCACCACAGUACAUGGAUAACGCCAUCAAAUCUGGUCUUUCCGUUUGGGCUCAUGGUCAGCACAAUGGCACUUAGCUCUCUGUUCCCUGGUUCCAGUGCUUUUGUGAUGGAAAUGAAAUUAGGACCAGAGUCUAGGAAGCAAAGGAGAAAAUACGCAACAGCAAAUAGAACCUGACCCUUGACCUACUUCAAAAGCAAGCAGUGGUGAUUUAAAAAGGAAGAAGAAGAAGAAGAAAAUCCCAGGGAGUGAAAGAGAGGGUAGUCCAUUUUAAUUCGGUGUGAAGCUGUGUGGAAGGUGCGCAGAGCGCAGAUGAAUGGUGGCCACCCGGUCAACCAGACAAACUGAAGGCUUGGUAGCUGAUGAAGAAGCUCUGAGCAUUCCCGGAUCUGUCAACAGCUGGAAGGUACAAUAUGAACUAACUCUCUCUUGCGUGCUGGCUGGGGCUGCCCAAAGGGAGCAACAGGAUUUCACAAAGGAGCAAUUGGUCUCCCUCCACCCCUAGCUCAAUGCAUCCAGCUCCGUUUGGACAAUUGUCUCCAUUUACAUUCCUCGCCCAAAUCCUUUCCCCAGCCUUUUCCGUCAUGGCGAAGCAGAUGCCAGACACUGAAGUCGAAAGCCAGCAGCUGUUUCCAUUACUUCAUGGCUCUAUGGGCCCUUACUAGCCUGCUGCUUCCCCUUUUCCUCCCCUCCCCCACCUGGUAAAGAAAGGCCCUCUCCCUUGGACUGGGCCCCGACCUGUGUGUUAGUGUGCAGGUCCCUUUAUUUUUUGUGUGUGAUGGGAACCAGAGACCAGCCUGCUUCGGUGGGGGCGUGGCCUGGGCUCCUUGGGGCGCGCUGCUUGCUCCUGGACUCACUCACCCUCCUUGCAGCCAGGGACCCGUUUAUGGCCCUGAGCACAGUAAAUCUGUCAGCUCUUCAGGACGCCUUCACCUCUUUCUUCAUUUGCUCCAGCUUCUAGUCUGACAACGUUCCCCUGAGGCGGAAUUCUAAUCUGCUUCCAAUUAGUUGUAAAAUGUGACUGAAAUUUCCACAUUAUGACUGCUGUUUUACUUACACGCACACAUCUAGAAACAAAUUAAUGCCUUCAAUAUUUAUUUAUUUAUUUCUUGAGCCUUUAGAUUUACUCGAAGAGGAAGAGUUACCGACUAUUAGGAAUAACUUCCAUGGGUUCCAUCUUCUCCACUCUCCUAUGAGGGAUAUAUUAAAACAAGAGGACUCCUUCCGCUAGGAGUCCCCUCCCAGCCACCGUUCAAGAUUCAGAACGUACUGCAAAUGUUUU